GGCCAAUAUGAGUUGGUCAAUUAAAAAAAUAUAUAUUAUUUUGACUUAUUUAAAUGAGAGGCGCAAUAAUAUCAAAUAUGUAUGUGUCACUCACUGUGUUGGAUUUUCUGACUCCUUCUUCAGUUGGAGGACUAUAUCGCCUGCUGAGUCCUCCUUCCCAGGAAAAUAGUCUUCUGAAAGCUUCUUUCCAUCUUUGUCCACCAUAACCAGUUUGAUUCCUUUGCCUUCCAGAGCAUCACUCUGGGUGAGGACAUGGAUGUCCAAAGCCGUAGCAGGGCGGUUAACAUCAGAAAUGUCCUCAAUGUAGCACUCCAAGUCUUUCUUGUCAGACUCUGACAGGGACUCAUGUGGACGCUGGAGGACCUUUUUCAUGUUGUACUUAUACUCCUGGCUGUUAAAGAAACUUUGGGUGUCAGCCCUGCCAAGUAUGUUGCUAACAGCACCACCAACAGCAUGGUUUAUUUGACUUAUGCACAUUUUGCUCAUGAUGGAGGUCAUAUGCCUGGAACAGGCCUCAACAUAAGAGUUUGAAACACUUUCUGCAAUCAUGUUGAUGAGUUUAUCUUUAAAGCGUUUUACAUCUGAUAAACUGUGCCUUUCAUCCUGGUCAUUGCUUUCCUGAGGUAGUUUUUCCAUUCUUUGCAAGAGCUUAGGAACAAAGGUGUCAGGAAUCACUUCUCUUGUUAUCAGAUCCACUGACUGAAGCAUUUCUUCCUCACACUCUUUGUGAAUUCUGAAUUCACUGGACCCAUUCUCCAGGAUAUUCUUUGGUAUUCCUGAGCAAAUGAAGCUUGUGAGAACUUCAUCCAGGUUACGGUUGGCUUUUAUGAGUGAAAGCACCUUUUCCUCAAAGACUUUCCUCAGAACGUUUUGGAAAAAAGUAUUAAAUGCCUUCUCAGCAGUAUAACUCAGAGCACUGAUGCAUCCUUGCUUCCCCAGUUCCUGAACUGCAUACUUCCCUGCCUUCAGAAAACACUGUUUUACUGUGUAGGCACUAGUCUUUGCUCCUGCGAUCAGACCUUUUGUGCCACUACGCACUGCACUUGCAGCUUUCUUUAGUCGGCUGAAUCCACCAGAGAUCAGAGACAGCCCGAUGCUGAUGGCCUUGGAGAUUGCCCAUUCAGCCCAGUCAAAGCCUCCUUGUAUCAUUCCUUUGAUCCCUUGAAUCAUGUCAGAUACUCCCUCACAGAUCAGUCCAAGUCCAAACUGGCUGGCACCACCACAUGACAGAGCACAAACAAGAACACCUGCUGCAACUUGAAGGGCACCAAGAACAAAACAAACAAGGGCAUCAUAGCAGAACUCGGGCUUCUUUUUAACCUCAAAGACUGUGCUAAGGCCAUUCUCAUAGAGCAUCAUCAGCUCAUUGGUGGUGAUUAAAUCUUUAUCUUUGGAAAGAUGGUACACACUGGAAUCCUCUACUUCUGCAUCAGCUUUGAUGCCAUUGAGCUGUGUCAGAGUUGUCAGGGCACUUUCGAUGUAUCUUUUCCAAGAUUUGAAGAUAGUCAUCCUGGCUUGCAUUUGGAUCUGGAGGUUGCUGUUUGUGUGGUGUGGAACAAAGCCACUCGUCACUGAAAGAUUACAAAACAUCAUCGUAUUUGUUGAUUCUGAGAGAUAGACAUCCACUGCAGACUGUGCUUCCUCCAAUAAUUCCUUUGCCUCAGCAAUGUAGUCUCCUUUUCUGAGGUUGAGUGUGAUGUAAGCUUGAUUAUAAAGUGCCACAGCACUGUAGAAAUGAUCGCACUCUGCAGCUCUCUGCCAGUAAGUCUUUGCUCCAAAGUCACAUUUGGUUUUGUUCAUGCAGUGCAGGUCAGUUCUGCUUGCUGCCUGUUUGAUGUAAUCAUAGAAAUUAUAGCUCGUCCCCUGCAGGAGGAAGUCACCAGUCUUCUUCAAGUGUUUGGUGAGGUCUUCUCUCAGCUGGCUGAUAUCGUCAUGUCUGCUGAUGUCCUUUUCAUGAAGGAUGAGCCACAAAGCCCACGAUUCUUUCAAAGCAUCAAGUGCAGUCUGAUAGUCGAACUUGUUCUGAUGGAUCUUAAAAUAUUCAGGAACAUCCUUCAGCUUCAUCUUGGACAGGUCACUCCUUUCUUCUACCGUGUAAUUCUUGUCAAAGUUACAGAGAAACUGACAGAAACUGGAGAACAGAGUUUCCUUCAUGUCAAUUUCACAGAGUUCAUGUUUCUCCAUGCUGUCUAAAUGUCUGAGCUCAUACUCCUCUCUGAGCUGUCUCAUGGUUUCGAUGGAAUGGCCUUGGUAGGCUGGUGCAAGAUGGCCCUGGUUGAGAACCAUCUGGACCAUCCCUGGGUUUCCUUUUCGGGCGGUGCGUCCAAAGACCUGUCGCUCCACACGGUGACUUCUAGGAAAGUAUGUGAGGAGCACAAAGAGGCCUCCACUCUCGUUUACGUCCUGCUGAACGUGUAUGUCUGUCCCUCGGCCGCCGAGGUUUGUAGCAAUGAUAAUGUUUCCCCGGCUAAAGUUCUGCUUCUCGAUGUUGUGCUUCUCGCUGAUUGUGUACAUGGUGAUCUCAUUGGCUUGCCUUUCUGGAACAUGCAUGUUUGUCUUCAGCUCAUCUGCAGUUUUAACAUCUUCACAAAUGAUAAGAACAACUUGGCCUCUGUCUGCAGCGCUCUGUGCAGUUUCACAGAUCAUCUGGAUCCACUGCAUGUUGCCUCCACUCACCUGAACUGCUGGCAACUCAACAAGCUUUUUACAGCGGUGAGCUGGAAUGACAUAGCUUGCUGUUUGGUAAUGCCGUUCUAGAAAUACUUUCUCAGCUUGCCCCCCUAAUGUCCCAGAAACACCAAAAAUGCCUUUUCCAUUGAGGUACCGUUUAAAGAAAUGGACAUUGGACAUGUAAUUUGUUACAUUGGACAGCUGUGAAAUGGCCAGCUGGUGCUUCAUCUCCAGAAACUGUUGUAGGCCGUCACCCCAUCGCUUGUUUUUCUCCAACACCCCACUGGCCUCAAAGUCCACAGGAAUUAUGGCAUCAUACUGAUGACUAUCAGCAUCACUGAAACCACCUGCGUCAGCUUCCGGUGCUUUCUCAAUCAUGUACUCUCUUCCCUGAGUCAUUCUGAUGGCUUUUAAGGCGUUCUCGGCAAAAACUGGUAACUGAUUCUCAAUGUAUGUUUUCAAAAAAGAGGGGAUCACAAUAAAUCCCUUACACUCAUCCAAUGACUUCACUGAACACUCAUCAGAAUAUUUAAUUUUUGAUUUUAAUUUGUCCACAGCUCCUUGGAUGAGGGAUUCCUCGGACAUGAUUUCACAGGUACAGCCAUUCUCCAGGAGAAGUAGGCUGACAUGAAGGUCUCCAUGAGAGCUGUCCUUUCUGUAAAGUUUGGCUUUGUUGUUCAUUAGUGAGUAACAAUUUACAGAUACACCGUUUUCUAUUUUUUUCUGAACUUGUCUCAGUAGCUCACACUGUUUUUCUGGUCCAAUGUUGGCCAUGAUUUUCUCAGUAGCUUUCCACCUGGCAUCCUUAAAGCCGUCAGUCUCUGUUUGUGUCUGACCAUCUGCUUUAUUUAAUUCAUCCACAUCCUCCUGUGGAUAAAACCCCAGCUGGGCACCAAGAAUAAGUAUGUCAGCAGCUGAAACAUCUUCUGAUUCUGGGCCAACCACUGCUUGCAUUACAGCCUUGUGGAAGUGCUGGAUCCUGGUUCCCCACCUGAUCUCCCCAGUUUCAAACAUUUCUAUUGGCUUGCAGGAUGACAUCAUGGCCCAGAUGCUUGCCAGGACUUGCUCCAUGUGCCUUAGGCUGCCGGCUUGGUGUGACAGGAACGUGACCUGGACACCGCUGUCCAACGUCAUGUAGUCCACCUCAUCUACUACCACACACUCAAACCUCCUCGGACCUCGGGUAGUCUUCUUCUCAAACUCUUGCCUCAGUGUAUCUGCUGCAAAUGUACCAACAGUGCCAUAAAUGACCUGCUGGCUGUAUGCAUCCUCAAGCAGCUUGUCAUGAUCUUUAAAAGAGCAGCUAUCGAUUUGUGUCGGAGGGACCGUGGAUGAUGUAAUACCAAACACAUCAUAUAAUUUUCUCCACUUAUCCUGAUCACGACUUGCUAACAAAGGAGAGCUUGUCACAAUGUCCACCUUUAUGCCUCGGGUGGCCUGUAUUGUAGCAAACAUGGCUAAAAUACAAGUUUUGCCCUCUCCAGUGCUGAUUUCCAACAGACAACCUUUCUUAUCCCCAGACUGUGGCAGCAGAAGCAGCAGCAGUGAUGCUAGCUGACUGGGUCUUGGGAAGUAGCCCUGAACAUGUUCACCGCUUUGAGUGGUAAAGGCGGUGCAAUCCUUUACAGCUCUGGAUACGAUGAUCAGGACUUUCUUCAGAGCAUCAAUCUUAGGAUUGUUAAAAUCGAGAGCAGUUAUUAUCUUUUUACAGUCUUCAAUCAUCUCCCUGUUAAUGGCCACACUUCCAUAUUUGGGUAGCUCUUCUUCAAUAUAUGUCAGGACUUCUCGCAGGAGUGACGGGACACACUCUGGAAAGUUUUUGUUUUCCAUUUCAGCCAAAAGUGUGCAAGCAUCUUUGUCUCGCUCAGCUUUGUCCACACAAUGUUGGAUGUACUCUGCAGGAUCGUCUUCAUUCAGGGCAGAGAGAGCGUCGUCACAGCUCAGCCCGUACGUGCGCGCUUUGUGGAGGAUUUUUGUGACUGUUUCCUGAUCCAUGCUUAAUGUCUUUCCAAGGAAACGCUUGAUGUCUUUUGGUGCCCAGAGGUUGUUGAAGACUAUUUGACUGACGAUCUCCCUACCUGAUAGGGGUAGCUUUGAGGACAGAUCCAGAACAUUUGCUAACACCUGUUGGGCCAGUGUUGGGUUGUCAGCAUGUAGCUGUUCCUGCAAACUGAGGAGGAACUCUGU
ensembl:lncRNA